rnacentral:misc_RNA from 1 species
AUAUAUCAACCUCUUAAGACUUUUGUCUGGUUAGAGUGUUGGAUGUGGGGGGCUUUCUUUUGCUGGCCUUUGAAGGUCAGCUCCCCUGAAAUGUAUUAGCGGAAUGAUCUGUGGACCGUUCAUUGGUGUGAUAACUAUCUACGCUAUUGACGUGAAACAAGUUCAGCUUCUAAUAGUCCAUUGACUUGGACAAAUUUUCAUUAAUGU